CCUACGGGUGGCAGCAGUGAGGAAUAUUGGUCAAUGGACGCAAGUCUGAACCAGCCAUGCCGCGUGCAGGAAGACGGCUCUAUGAGUUGUAAACUGCUUUUGUACGAGGGUAAACGCAGAUACGUGUAUCUGUCUGAAAGUAUCGUACGAAUAAGGAUCGGCUAACUCCGUGCCAGCAGCCGCGGUAAUACGGAGGAUUCAAGCGUUAUCCGGAUUUAUUGGGUUUAAAGGGUGCGUAGGCGGUCUGAUAAGUUAGCGGUGAAAUUCUGGUGCUCAACAUCGGAAGUGCCGCUGAUACUGCUGGGCUAGAGAGUAGUUGCGGUAGGCGGAAUGUAUGGUGUAGCGGUGAAAUGCUUAGAGAUCACACAGAACACCGAUUGCGAAGGCAGCCUGCUAAACUGUAACUGACGCUGAUGCACGAAAGUGUGGGUAUCAAACAGGAUUAGAUACCCGGGUAGUC
rnacentral:rRNA from 1 species